rnacentral:rRNA from 1 species
AGAGUUUGAUCAUGGCUCAGGAUGAACGCUGGCGGCGUGCCUAAUGCAUGCAAGUCGAGCGGCAACAGAUCCUUAUCUCUGAUAAGGGUGCUGGCGAGCGGCAAACGGGUGAGUAAUACAUGGGUAACCUACCCUGAAGAAGGGGAUACCCCACCGAAAGGUGGUUCAAUACCCUAUGAUCUUUAGAAAGGAAGCUUUUUAAAGUAAAGGUGGUAAGUCUACUUACUACCACUUCAGGAUGAGCUCAUGGCCUAUCAGCUAGUUGGUGAGUUAAAAGCCCACCAAGGCGAAGACGGGUAGCUGACCUGAGAGGGUGAUCAGCCACAUUGGGACUGAGACACGGCCCAAACUCCUACGGGAGGCAGCAGCAGGGAAUAUUGGGCAAUGAGCGAAAGCUUGACCCAGCGACGCCGCGUGGGUGAUGAAGGCCUUCGGGUCUUAAAGCCCUUUUCUAAGGAAUGAAGGAUUAUAUCCUGAAUAAGAAUAUAAUCUUGACAGUACCUUAGGAAUAAGCUCCAGCCAACUACGUGCCAGCAGCUGCGGUAAUACGUAGGGAGCAAGCGUUAUCCGGAAUUACUGGGUGUAAAGGGUGUGCAGGCGGUUUAACAAGUUAAAUGUCAAAGACUACUGCUUAACGGUAGAAAGGCAUUUAAUACUGCUAAACUAGAGGGCGAAAGAGGGAAGUGGAAUUCCCGGUGUAGCGGUGAAAUGCGUAGAUUUCGGGAGGAACACCAAUAGCGAAGGCAGCUUCCUGGUUCGUUCCUGACGCUCAUACACGAAAGCCAGGGGAGCAAACCGGAUUAGAUACCCGGGUAGUCCUGGCCCUAAACGAUGGGUGCUUGGUGUUGGGAGGGUAAUUCCUUUCAGUGCCGUAGUUAACACGUUAAGCACCCCACCUGGGUAGUACGGUCGCAAGGCUGAAACUCAAAUGAAUUUGACGG